GGGGCUGGUCACCUGAUCAAACCUUUCUACACUCCUCACUUCCGCUCCAGCACCUUCCUUAGGCUUUACACCAAGAACAGGGGCAAAGUGAUCAUGUUGUGGGGAGGGAAGUCCAAAUGGAGGAGGAUCCUGGAGUUCCUUCAGAAGAACCUGUACCAAAGAUAGGACCCCUCUGUCCCCUCAGAGCUGUGAGAUCCUCCUGGACUAACUCCAUUAUAGUUGUAGCUUCUCUAGCUUCAUUAUCUGUCAGGGCCCUAUUCUUGAAAUUAAAGAGAGAUAAUAUUG